rnacentral:rRNA from 1 species
GACGAACGCUGGCGGCGUGCUUAACACAUGCCUUUCGAACGGAAAGGCCCUGCUUUUGGGGGGUGCUCGAGUGGCGAACGGGUGAGUAACACGUGAGUAACCUGCCCUUGACUUUGGGAUAACUUCAGGAAACUGGGGCUAAUACCGGAUAGGGGCUCCUGCUGCAUGGUGGGGGUUGGAAAGUUUCGGCGGUUGGGGAUGGACUCGCGGCUUAUCAGCUUGUUGGUGGGGUAGUGGCUUACCAAGGCUUUGACGGGUAGCCGGCCUGAGAGGGUGACCGGCCACAUUGGGACUGAGAUACGGCCCAGACUCCUACGGGAGGCAGCAGUGGGGAAUAUUGCACAAUGGGCGGAAGCCUGAUGCAGCAACGCCGCGUGCGGGAUGACGGCCUUCGGGUUGUAAACCGCUUUCGCCUGUGACGAAGCGUGAGUGACGGUAAUGGGUAAAGAAGCACCGGCUAACUACGUGCCAGCAGCCGCGGUGAUACGUAGGGUGCGAGCGUUGUCCGGAUUUAUUGGGCGUAAAGGGCUCGUAGGUGGUUGAUCGCGUCGGAAGUGUAAUCUUGGGGCUUAACCCUGAGCGUGCUUUCGAUACGGGUUGACUUGAGGAAGGUAGGGGAGAAUGGAAUUCCUGGUGGAGCGGUGGAAUGCGCAGAUAUCAGGAGGAACACCAGUGGCGAAGGCGGUUCUCUGGGCCUUUCCUGACGCUGAGGAGCGAAAGCGUGGGGAGCGAACAGGCUUAGAUACCCUGGUAGUCCACGCUGUAAACGGUGGGUACUAGGUGUGGGGUCCAUUCCACGGGUUCCGUGCCGUAGCUAACGCUUUAAGUACCCCGCCUGGGGAGUACGGCCGCAAGGCUAAAACUCAAAGGAAUUGACGGGGCCCCGCACAAGCGGCGGAGCAUGCGGAUUAAUUCGAUGCAACGCGUAGAACCUUACCUGGGUUUGACAUGGAUCGGGAGUGCUCAGAGAUGGGUGUGCCUCUUUUGGGGUCGGUUCACAGGUGGUGCAUGCCUGUCGUCAGCUCGUGUCGUGAGAUGUUGGGUUAAGUCCCGCAACGAGCGCAACCCUUGUUCACUGUUGCCAGCACGUUAUGGUGGGGACUCAGUGGAGACCGCCGGGGUCAACUCGGAGGAAGGUGGGGAUGACGUCAAGUCCUCAUGCCCCUUAUGUCCAGGGCUUCACGCAUGCUACAACGGCUGGUACAGAGAGUGGCGAGCCUGUGAGGGUGAGCGAAUCUCGGAAAGCCGGUCUCAGUUCGGAUUGGGGUCUGCAACUCGACCUCAUGAAGUCGGAGUCGCUAGUAAUCGCAGAUCAGCAACGCUGCGGUGAAUACGUUCCCGGG